UUACACCUCUUAACGAUUUUGCCCUUUUUCCAAUAGUGGUUCCACCAAUGACAUGGUGUUGAUCUUGGAACCUGCAAUUCGAAAAGUGUUACAAGAGAUGGUCCCUCCUUGAAGGUCCAGCUGUGUGUCCUGAAGGGUGAUUUUGAAAGUGAGGAUUGGACUGUUGAGGAAUUCAAUAGCAACAUAGAAAGUCCAAGAGAAAGAAAAGGAUCAUUACUCAAGGGAGACACGGCUAUUAUUUUCAAGAAUGUUAGCUGCUGCAAAGGCAGCUCAGGAGUCGAUUCACAAUGGCGCUCUUCUAUCAGAAGAAUACAUUAAAGUUUAUGUUUUGAAUACAUGAUAAAUUUAGUAUGGUUGAACAAUACAUUGAUUUAGGUUUUGAAUUAUAGUUGAUGUAUCAAUACACUUUGUUGAUGUACGGUUGUUAUUUAUUAUUAUAGUUGAUGUAUCAAUACAUUUUGUUUA